rnacentral:rRNA from 1 species
UACGGAGGGUGCAAACGUUGCUCGGAAUCAUUGGGCGUAAAGCGCACGUAGGCGGUCCGGAAAGUCGGGUGUGAAAUCCCUCGGCUCAACCGAGGAAGUGCAUUCGAAACUUCCAGACUUGAAUAUGGAAGAGGGUCGCGGAAUUCCCGGUGUAGAGGUGAAAUUCGUAGAUAUCGGGAGGAACACCAGUGCGAAGGCGACUACCUGGCCUGUUCUUGACGCUGAGGCGCGAAAGCUAGGGGAGCAAACGGG